rnacentral:lncRNA from 1 species
GUGGAAAUUAAUAUAUCUUGCAGAAACACUUAAUUAAGUGAAGCAAAACUAGAAGAAAAACGGUAUAUAAGUGCCAUUUGGAAUAUACAACUCAAAAAUAAAUGCGGAAGUCUACAACUCAAUCCCAGAAACUCGCGGGAAACACAGGCCAAAGAAAAAAUACUGUAAAUGCUCUAAUCUCCAGAAAGUCUAUGUCAAAAGUAUGAUAGAACCUAAAUGCAACAGAUAGAAUAAUGAAGGAAAUUCUUCGGCUUGUGGACGCUGCAGAUAUACCUCAAGUGUCCGCUAGACCUCUCUGCCUCAAUGAUAGUGCGCCUGAUCUGCACAUGAAAAACAAGCGCACAAGAGGCAUAAGUGCACCACAACGGUACUUAGUAAGUGCCAAGCCUAACCUCAGUUGGGUAGUGAUGAGGAAUGUCAAGGCCCUACUGAGAUAAAUAUAACAUAUGGUACGGUAAAGAAAAACAGUAUAGAUAUAGUCUACAGCGAGAAUCUAAAAGGGAUAAAUGAGGGAACCAGCAAUAGGAAACGGAACAAAGCAAUAUAAGGAACACUACUCACAACAGGAAAUAAUAGCCGGGGAUCUAUUGAUAUCCUCAUUAUAUUCACUAAAGAUCUCUUGGUAUCCCGAGGAUCUCUUGGUAUCCUCAUUAUAUUCACUAGGGAUCCUCUUGGUAUCCCGAGGACCUCUUGGUAUCCUCAGUAUAGUCACUAGAGAUCUCUUGGUAUCCCGAGGAUCUCGUGGUAUUCUCAUUAUAUUCACUAGGGAUCUCUCGGUAUCCCGAGGAUAUCUUGGUAUCCAAAGAUCUCUUGGUAUCCUCAUUAUAUUUACUAGGGAUCUCUUGGUAUCCCGAGGAUAUCUUGGUAUCCUUAUUAUAUUCACUAGGGAUCUCUUGGUAUCCCAAGGAUCUCGUGGUAUCAUCAUUAUAUUCACAAGUGAUCUCUUAGUAUUCUGAGGAUCUCUUAGUAUCCUAGUUAUAUUUACUAGGGAUCUCUUGGUAUCCUCGUUAUAUUCACUAGGGAUCUCUUGGUAUCCCGAGGAUCUCUUGGUAUCCUCAUUAUAUUCACUAGGGAUAUCUUGGUAUCCUCAUUAUAUUCACUAGGGAUCUCUUGGUAUCCUCAUUAUAUUCACUAGGUAUCCUUUGGUAUCACGAGGAUCUCGUGGUAUCCUCAAAUCUUACAAUCUAAUGUGACGGGGAUCUCUUGGUAUACUGCACCCUCGAUCUAAAACAUAUCAAGUACUGGGGGAUCUCUCGGGAGGCCAACCCGUGGUCCCAAUGAAAGCACACCAUAGCAACCCAAACAUUAGGAAAGAUACUAACUUAGGACAGAAAUAGAAAAUACUAGCCAAACAUACUAUGGAGUACAAAUAAGACAAGUUAAACUCUUAGGCAAGUCAGUCAAAUGAAAAUGCUUCUCUAAACUAGCAUAGAAUAAAUUUACAAUUUAAAGUGACCAGGUAAGCAGGAGAAACUCAAUUUAAAUACUUCAAGUAAAAAUAGAUUUUCCAACAAAUUGCUCAAGUACGCGCUCGUCACCUCACGACAAGACAUUCAAUUAACAAACAUCGUGUCCUUUGGGGAAGGUCCUCCACACAAGGUUAGACAAGUCACUCACCUUAAUCGGCUCCAAAAUUAACUUGAAAUCACUCUUUUUCCAUGAGUAUCCGACUCCAAAUGGCCCAAUCUAUUCAUUUCAAUUACAUCUCGUAAAUAACAUCUCACGCAACUAAUUCUACUAUUUAAUUUAUAGCGAAGACGCAAAUUUAGGUAAAAUGACCAAAACACCCCUCAUGACAACUUGGUCAAAACCCGAACUUCGAACUAAAACCCGGUUGUCCAUUCCCCUACGAAUCCAAUUAUAUGAUAAGAAUCGAAAUUGAAUCUUGGAUUGAGGUCCAACCCCAAAUUUAAGAAAAACCUUAGAUACUACCCAAUAUACACAAUUUCCCCAUUAAAAACUUCGGUUCGAUGUUGAAAUAAUGUUAGACGGUCAAGGAGUGAAGAAAAUGACUUAGAAAUCAUUUACCAAUUGUUUAUAAGAAGAAGAAUCGUCUCUUAUGCUUUGGGUUUUUGAAAAGUGAGACAUAGUUGAAAAUCACGUGUAUUAAUACAAUCUGAUCCACCCAGCGCAGACCGUGCAAAAAGGACGGCAGCCGCGCUGGUGGAACUGAAGGCUGCUGGUUUUUCUGAAGUUGGCAGCACAGACCGUGUGAGGACGACCGCGCUAAGGCUGUCGCAGCUGCGCUGGUGGAGAUGAAGGCUGCUAGCUCUCUGAAGCGGACGGUGCAAGGAAGACCGCGGCCGUGCAGUGCACACCGCGGACCGCACAAAGGUGACCAGGGGUGCGCUAGAGCCUGCAGCUUUUUCCCUGACCUGCAAUAUCUGAUGUUUUUAAGUCUAAGACCUCUGGUAACCUACUCAAAACUCACCCGAGCCCUUAGGGCUCCAAAAACAAUAUGCACACAACCUCAAAAACAUCUUGCGUACUUGUCCGUGCGAUCAAAUCGUCAAAAUAACAUUAUAUUCAUCGGAUCGAGCCUCAAAAACUCAUGAUUUCUUCCAAAUUUUUCAUAUGACAAAAUAUUCCCAUUUCGGGUCCGAAACACGUCAAACGACGUCUAUUCUCAACCAAACUUUACAGAAAGUGCUUUAAUCAUAUAUAAAACUUGUACCCGGCACUGAAACAAAAUACGUGCCCGUUAUCUUAGUCUUCUAAUCAAAUUUUGUUUCCCUUUUCCUUAACUAUUUCCAAAAAACAAUUUCACAUAAAAAUUCAUUUCUACGACUUGGGACCUUAGAAUUCGAUUCCAGUCACACGCUCCAGUCCCAUAUUUUUCCACGGACCCUCCGGGACCAUCGAAUCACGGGUCGUGGUCCGGGUCCGUUUACCAAAAAUAUUGACCAAAGUCAAAUUUAUUCAAUUUAGCAUCAUAAUUUAACAUUUUUCACACAUAAUUCAUAUUUAGCUUAUUUUUCAGUGACGCGCCCGGACUGCGCACGCAUAUUGAGGCAACUCUAGAGGAGGUUUUAAGUCCUCAGAGGUACAGAACAAAAAAUAAAGAGGUGAUGACCCCAUUGGGUCGUCACAUCCCCCACCAGUAAAACAACCGUUCCUCCUCGAACAUGCAAAAGAAUGAAGAACAAAAGUUGGGAAAAAGGUGAGGAUAACGGCUCCGCAUAUUCUGCUCGGUCUUCGAGGUCUCCUCCUCGGCUGGCUAACCACGCCGCAGAGCCUUUACUGAAGAAAUGUCAUUUGACCUCAACUUUGUGACCUGCCUUUCCAAUAUAACUGUUAGCUUCUCAACAUAGGAUAUAUCGUUGUCCAACUGGACCGAGCUGAAAUCCAACACGUGCGUCGGGUCACUAUUGUCACACCUCCUUUUUUACACGGCUACCCCGAAGGAUAAAAACGUAUAAGGGAGUUUUUUCAAUUAAAGUGACAUUAUUCGAAAUGUGAUUAUUUAUUUAUUCAGAGUCGCCACUUGGGAUAGGCUUGGAUUUUGGUGUCCCAAGUCACCGGUUUAUUAAGAAUCCCAAAUCGAGGAAAAUUAUCGACAGCCCAAACGGAGUCUGCGAACCAUAAAUUCUUAGUAAGGAAUUUUGUUGACUAGGGGUGUACAUAGACCGGGUUGGUUCGAAUUUUACAAUUACCAAACCAAACCAAUUGUGUCGGGUUAUUAAAUCUAAAGACCAAACCAAACCAAUAAAUUUGGGUUUUUCAAUAUUGGUUUUUCUCGAAUUUUUUCGGGUUAUUCGGAUUUUUUCUAAUUUUUUUCCGGUAAAAUCUUCGUAGAAUAAAAUAUAUAACGUAUGCUCAAAAUAUUUCUUUAAUCCUAGUAAGAUACAACUAUAUAAAGUAUUUUUCAAGAAAAUAAUACAAAAUAUGAGACAUAUCAUGACUCAUGACAUUAUCAUAAAUUAUUCAACAAUAAAAAGUAAUAUAAUUAUGUACUAUAAAUAUUGCUAAUUAAAAAGUCAUAAUAAAAAUAAACAUAAUCUAAAAGCACUAAUUCAUGCUAAACUAGAUAAAAUAAUACCUUAAAAGAUAAAAUGACGAAAUUUUUUAAGAAAUAUUUAUAAAUUAAAUUACAACAAGUAUAUUUAUAUAUUAAAUAUAUCUAAAAUUGCAAUAUAUGUAAUGUCGGAUUGGUUUGGUUUCGGUUUGACUUUCUUUAGUUAAAACCAAACCAAANNNNNNNNNNNNNNNNNNNNNNNNNNNNNNNNNNNNNNNNNNNNNNNNNNNNNNNNNNNNNNNCAAACCAAACCAAUUAUGGUCGGAUUUUUUUUUCCAACACCAAACCAAGUCAAACCAAACCAUAGUCGGAUUUUUUUUCUCGGUUUGACUCGGAUAAUCGGAUUGGUGCGGUUUAUCGAUUUUCUUUGUACACCCCUACUGUUUACCCAAGCGAAGGUAUUAGGCACCAUCGGAUCCCGUGGUUCUAGCAUGGUCGCUUAAACUAUUAUAAUGGCUUAAUAUCUGAUUUCAUACAUGUUUCAUCCUAUUGUGCAAUUUUAAAUUAUUUACCGCUUUUAUUUAUUUUAGGAAUAUUGCAACGUUGUUAAAACACAUCUUGAACCACGUCACAUAAAUGCACCGCGGUCUUCGACAUGUUUUAACUAACGUUGAUAUUGGGAUUAGGGUCACAUAAAUAUGCACCCGAGAUUAGGAAGGUAAAAUUAUUAAAGACGCGCCUAAAGCGACUAACGUGCUAUUAGCUUUACGAGGGCCAUGAAAAUUCAGUACAUGGCGCGCCCUGAUUUCUAAGGAUAAACAAUAUUAAUCACAUGGGACCAUAGAUUAUUUAAUGAAAAUGGCACACCUCAAAUAGCCUAUAGAAAAAAGGUUAAAGUUUCUCACCACUAUUAAAUUAAUCCAAGGGUCGAAAGAAGGAGAUGAAACAGUGUUGGCAUUACUUUCACGCUAAUAAUAGACCAAACUAGCAUACCAUCAGAAAUAUUUAACCACACCACAACAGAAGCUUGAAUACAUCAUUCAAAUAAUGAGGAAAGUUAACUAUUCAAUAAUAACUCAAAUAUAAGUAUACGAAGCCAAAAACAUGCACUACAAGCAUCAGAAGGUCAUAUGAAUUCAAAAGAAACCGAAAAAUAUCACCUGAAAAGAUCGACUGAAGGCUUUCAAAUGAAGUGUUGGAGCUCAACUGUGGGACAACAACAACAUAGCAAACAAGCUCGGAUCAAACUUUUCGUAAACCCAAAAAUGAUGAAUGAAAUAUUGCUAUUCGUAUUCCCUUUGUGGCUCAUGAACUCAAUAAUUAAUGGGGAGAGUACCAGAUUAGAUUUAUGUCAAACACAUGAAGUUAACAAUUACUAAUUACAUCAAACAUUUAAAACAUCGAAUUGCGACUCCAACACCAACACUAGAGAUAAUUAUAUCAUUUUAGAUUGAAACUCAUACCUUGACAGCAACAAAUACAGCUCAAAAUUAUCCAAGUGAAGCUGAAAUGGGAAGCUAAAGCUCAAAAUAUUCAAUAGAGUGCUCAACAGUAGCUCGGACAACAGCGAAACAAGCAAAACAGCUACAGUAAUUAAAUGAUUCCGACCCGAUUAAACCUUAAAACCUUCAGAAAAAAUGUAGUGUAAGUACCAGAAGCUUUGUUUACCCCUUUUAACUCCUCGUCUUUGAAGCAUUUUGUUAUAGAUCUCCAUUGCAAUUUGAAUUGCAAAACUCUUUAAAAUGCUCAUGUAAGAGCGUGCUCCUUCAGGGGUAAUUUCGAGGAAAUGGGAGAAGGAAUGUGGUAGAAAUAAUAAAUUUAAUUUUGGACUAAUUUUCAGCCAUUUCAGAGUUGGUUUCCAACUUCUAAUGAUCAAUUAAAAGCAACAAUUAUACAACCUCGUAUGACAUGAAUUUAUAUGCAUAUACAGUCAUUACCCAUAAUUAGCCCAAGUCUCAAUUCAGGAAAUAAAUCGCAGAGAAGAGGAAACAAAACCACAGUAGUAGCACCUCAAUACGCUCGACCUCCUCAAUUCGAUUAACAAUUACAACAAACAUAAACACAGAGUGUUAAACAUAAUGAUAGUUUUACUGUUAACAAGCUUAGCUCAAAUAUAUAAAGACCCGUCGGCAAGCAAUUCAAAUUUUACACCUUCAACUCAAAACAAGAGUCACAAUUAAAGACUUGAAGGAGACAACAUAAAUUACACAGAUCUGGUAGAUGAACAUAAGGAGGACAGAAAAUUGCACAUAUUCAUAGAGUCCAAAAUCUGAAUAUUCAUCCAUAUUCAAAAGAGGAUUUCGGGUAAAUGUAUACAUACCUAAACAGCAUAGAAUAGACAGAAAACAACCAGCAAAGACUUGAAAUAGGAGGCGAAAUCCAGAGAGCGAAACCACAGUAGUCCGGCGGUCAGAUGAGCUUGACUUGGCAGCAGCAGACAACGAUUCGAUUGCUUCAGAUUCAUAAAAUUAUGAAGCUAAGACCAGAUAUCGAGAGCAGUUAUAAAAACCCUUUUCAUUUCUGUUUUCAUUCCAUUUUUUGAGUUUUUCAAAUCUCAGUUAUUGUAAAUAUUCAUAUUAGACCGAGAAAUCAUAGAAAAUCUAGAGAGAAAGUAGAGAGAAGGCAGAGCGUUUUGGAAUUCUCUGGAGAUGAGAGAAGUAUAUUACAGAAAAUGAAAAUGAAAGAAUGAG